rnacentral:rRNA from 1 species
AACAGGAUUAGAUACCCUGGUAGUCCACGCCCUAAACGAUGUCAACUGGUUGUUGGGAGGGUUUCUUCUCAGUAACGUAGCUAACGCGUGAAGUUGACCGCCUGGGGAGUACGGCCGCAAGGUUGAAACUCAAAGGAAUUGACGGGGACCCGCACAAGCGGUGGAUGAUGUGGUUUAAUUCGAUGCAACGCGAAAAACCUUACCUACCCUUGACAUGCCAGGAAUCCUGAAGAGAUUUGGGAGUGCUCGUAAGAGAACCUGGACACAGGUGCUGCAUGGCCGUCGUCAGCUCGUGUCGUGAGAUGUUGGGUUAAGUCCCGCAACGAGCGCAACCCUUGUCAUUAGUUGCUACGAAAGGGCACUCUAAUGAGACUGCCGGUGACAAACCGGAGGAAGGUGGGGAUGACGUCAGGUCAUCAUGGCCCUUAUGGGUAGGGCUACACACGUCAUACAAUGGCCGGGACAGAGGGCUGCCAACCCGCGAGGGGGAGCUAAUCCCAGAAACCCGGUCGUAGUCCGGAUCGUAGUCUGCAACUCGACUGCGUGAAGUCGGAAUCGCUAGUAAUCGCGGAUCAGCUUGCCGCGGUGAAUACGUUCCCGGGUCUUGUACACACCGCCCGUCACACCAUGGGAGCGGGUUCUGCCAGAAGUAGUUAGCCUAACCGCAAGGAGGGCGAUUACCACGGCAGGGUUCGUGACUGGGGUGAAGUCGUAACAAGGUAACC